rnacentral:rRNA from 1 species
GCUUCCCUCUUUCUUCGUGCCUAAUACAUGCAAGUCGAGCGAACAGACGAGGAGCUUGCUCCUUUGACGUUAGCGGCGGACGGGUGAGUAACACGUGGGUAACCUACCUAUAAGACUGGGAUAACUUCGGGAAACCGGAGCUAAUACCGGAUAAUAUUUCGAACCGCAUGGUUCGAUAGUGAAAGAUGGCUUUGCUAUCACUUAUAGAUGGACCUGCGCCGUAUUAGCUAGUUGGUAAGGUAACGGCUUACCAAGGCAACGAUACGUAGCCGACCUGAGAGGGUGAUCGGCCACACUGGAACUGAGACACGGUCCAGACUCCUACGGGAGGCAGCAGUAGGGAAUCUUCCGCAAUGGGCGAAAGCCUGACGGAGCAACGCCGCGUGAGUGAUGAAGGUCUUCGGAUCGUAAAACUCUGUUAUUAGGGAAGAACAAACGUGUAAGUAACUGUGCACGUCUUGACGGUACCUAAUCAGAAAGCCACGGCUAACUACGUG